UACGAAGGGGGCUAGCGUUGCUCGGAAUCACUGGGCGUAAAGGGUGCGUAGGCGGGUCUUUAAGUCAGGGGUGAAAUCCUGGAGCUCAACUCCAGAACUGCCUUUGAUACUGAGAGUCUUGAGUACGGGAGAGGUGAGUGGAACUGCGAGUGUAGAAGGUGAAAUUCGUAGAUAUUCGCAAGAACACCAGUGGCGAAGGCGGCUCACUGGCCCGUUACUGACGCUGAGGCACGAAAGCGUGGGGAGCAAACAGG
rnacentral:rRNA from 1 species